UUGAAAGGGAAACGAUUGAAGUCAGUCGUGCAGUCAUCAACUCAGCGGGUAGCGUAGGUAAUUUAUUGCUUUCGUUUUCCGUGUACUUUGUUGUCUGCUGGUUAGCAUCAAUUUUGAUUGUCAUAAAAAGGUUAAGGGGAUGUGGCUCCUUCGGGAGUGUUAUAACCCUUAGCGGAAUGUGGCGAUUGGGAUUGAGGAUUGCAACGAGUACCUUUAGGGCAGUUCCGUCUGGUCUCUUGUUGAUUUUCAGAUAGCAAAAGCUUGCUUUUGUUGUUUGAAUAGAGUUAGCAAAUAGAUUGGAAAGUGAAUUAAUUCGUUAAGGAUGUUGACGUA
rnacentral:rRNA from 1 species